GAUGAACGCUAGCGGCAGGUUUAAUACAUGCAAGUCGAGGGGCAUCGCGGGUAGCAAUACCUGGCGGCGACCGGCGCACGGGUGCGUAACACGUAUGUAACCUACCUUAAACUGAGGGAUAGCCCCUCGAAAGAGGGAUUAAUACCUCAUAACAUUGCGAGAAGGCAUCUUUUUGCAAUUAAAGUUCCGACGGUUUAAGAUGGGCAUGCGCGACAUUAGCUUGUUGGUGAGGUAACGGCUCACCAAGGCUAUGAUGUCUAGGGGUUCUGAGAGGAAAAUCCCCCACACUGGUACUGAGACACGGACCAGACUCCUACGGGAGGCAGCAGUAAGGAAUAUUGGUCAAUGGGCGCAAGCCUGAACCAGCCAUGCCGCGUGCAGGAUGACGGCCCUAUGGGUUGUAAACUGCUUUUGUACGGGAGAAAACCCUCGCUCGUGAGCGGGGCUGAUGGUACCGUAAGAAUAAGGAUCGGCUAACUCCGUGCCAGCCGCCGCUGUAACAC
rnacentral:rRNA from 1 species